rnacentral:rRNA from 1 species
AUUGAACGCUGGCGGCAGGCCUAACACAUGCAAGUCGAACGCGUGGCGGAGGGGUGUAUAGUCUCUGGGACACUGCCCGAUGGAGGGGGAUAACUACUGGAAACGGUAUAUAAUAGCGCAUCCCAUGGGUUGUGCCCAGAUGGGAUUAGCUAGUAGGUGGGGUAACGGCUCACCUAGGCGACGAUCCCUAGCUGGUCUGAGAGGAUGAACAGCCACACUGGAACUGAGACACGGUCCAGACUCCUACGGGAGGCAGCAGUGGGGAAUAUUGCACAAUGGGCGCAAGCCUGAUGCAGCCAUGCCGCGUGUAUGAAGAAGGCCUUCGGGUUGUAAAGUACUUUCAGCGGGGAGGCGUUACUCGCAGAAGAAGCACCGGCUAACUCCGUGCCAGCAGCCGCGGUAAUAC